rnacentral:lncRNA from 1 species
UUUCAAUUGCUUCGUAAGUUUUUAAAACUUUUCUUUUAAUCAAAAAUUUUCCACCACGUUUUCUUUAUUUUCUUCUCUGACGUAGUCGUACGUGCGUGUUGGCACCAAGAGACUUAACGCACUAGUGAUGCAGUCACGGGAGACAAAACUACAUUCUACCAUGGAACGUUCACGGAAACCGCAUAGAAGACCAAAAAUAAAAUAUCUACAUUAGAGUAGUAGUGUUGUAGCCAAGUAUGUGAAGCUAUAGGGGUGAUAGUAUUGCCAGAUGAGAGUGAGUGGAUAAACAACUGGAGUUCAGAUAAAUGUUCAGAGCUACGGUGGCUUACAGUUUCAAGGUUGAGAGACUACAUGUUUUAUGAAAAUCUACUAAGUUUGCACCAGAAGAAGUCACGAAUCGUAAAAAGUAAACCAUGGCCUGAAAGAAUAUGGGAUGAGCAAAAAGUUCUUGAAGAGAACCGGGACGCCUUGAGAAUUCCGGGCCCAGGAGAAAUUGUUCUCAAUCUAAUCCUUUCUUGUGCACUGGGUACAGAUCUCAAAACGAAUAAACUAGGCAAUCUUGCUAUGUUUAUAUCAAUUCUUAAUGGACAAAUUUCAUGUUUGACAAUAAGCUAUUAGAAAACAUGUAAGAUUUUCUAUUUUUUAUGUUCUUACCACAACAAUUUUUCUCAUAAACGUUCAAUAAUACAUCUGGCAACGUCAAGUGGCCUGCCGCUUGAUCAACCCAACAUAAAUGCAAUAAAAUACAUUGGAAUGCAGCUAAACCACUUUUUCAAAGUUUUUUUUUAUUGUUUGGUUUAGUUAUGUUCGAGUUACCUGGCGACUUGUGAGAGAAUUACAGAUGCAUGUACAUACAUACAUAUGUAAAUAAGUUACUGUUGUUGUAUGUCGACACGCAAGCGCAGACCAACAACAAAGCUAGAUACUUAUUAGAAAACCAACACUGGAUACAAAGAAUGGAGCAAGCCAACGCACUGGGCGGCCUCUGAAUGCCAGCGAGUCAGUCAAAGAACCGGAGAAUGCUCACAGCAGUGCAGAAGGCGCAAAGCACAGCACCAAUGUACAAAGCUACGUAUGUACAUAGGUAAGAGUCAGUCAGUCAUCCAACCUUUGCAACCGGUCACCAGGUAAUACUCGCUGCUUCAACAUACCGAAGAAGUAUAACGCUACAUAAUACAGCAACAUAAAACCCACAUAUACACAUACAUACAUACAUACUUUGUCUAUAAAAAUGUGUAGUAAUGUUUGUCUGUUGGAGUUGGAGUUUAGUUCGGUGGGAAUAAUUCAAUUCUUGGUUGUCUUAUUUCUGGUUUGCUUCAUUCUGAGAUUGGAAUGUGGUACUACCAGAUAUCGGCGCACAAACACACACACAUGUACUGCAUAGGCUCCAUUUACAUGACCAAGAGCUACAACAAUAACAAGCAACAACAACAAUCGUGAUUCUAGUGGGGAAAAAAAUAUUUUCAUACUUUGCUUUUACAGUUGGGAACCAAAGAACCAUUACGAGAAUGCUUCAACAAUCACUUAAUACAAAAAAAAAACACAUACAAGUGUAUGUGAACUAAGAAAGCUGAAGGAAGUAUCUCAAGAACAGCAUUAAGGCGAAUGCAAUGUAAAGAAAAAAUCGGGAAAAAAAUAAAUAAAACAUUCUUGAGUCGUCCUUCCAAGAAAUGCAAUCACGCAGCGAUCACCAACGACGUUGUCGCCAACAACAAAGCAAACGCAGCAAUGCUCCUAAACACACACAAAGCAUAAAGAAAGCAACAACAAAAGAUAAGAAAAAUUCACUCAAUAUGCAGGCGCAGGCGCAGACCCAAAUGUGAUCGAGCAGCCAGCAGCGUA